UUUUUUUGUUACAAAAAAAAAAAUCGUUACAACCACUAUAACCUUUGAUCACUUGCACACCUGAUAAUCCAAAACCAAAAAAAUAGCAGCGAUUCCAUCAUCCUGAAUCUUUAAAGAUUUUACAAAGAAAAUACUAUUAUUUUCUAUCGUCUUAAAUCCUAAAAUAUGGAUAUUUUUACCUGUAUUGAUGGGGCACUAGAGAAUCGUAGUGUCAAACAAGUAAAUAAUAAAUCUUGCUUCUUCUAGUGACUUCCUCAGAAAAUUUCCGAGAGCCAAUGAAAUUUCGAAAUAUGUUUGAUCUUGUAAUUUUCUUCACCAUUCAAUCUCCUUGCAAGGUCAGAAUGCAAAAGAUCCACAAACAACUCUUGAAUCGUAGAAAUGUUCUGUAAUCCUUCAGGCAAAAACCUCAACUUAUUACAAUUAUAAAAUUGAAGGCACCUCAAACUUGGAAAAGCACCAUUUACA
rnacentral:misc_RNA from 1 species